GGCCAGACUCCUACGGGAGGCAGCAGUGAGGAAUAUUGGUCAAUGGGCGAGAGCCUGAACCAGCCAAGUCGCGUGAAGGAUGACGGCCCUACGGGUUGUAAACUUCUUUUGUCAGGGAGCAAUUGGGUCCACGCGUGGGCUUAGCGAGAGUACCUGAAGAAAAAGCAUCGGCUAACUCCGUGCCAGCAGCCGCGGUAAUACGGAGGAUGCGAGCGUUAUCCGGAUUUACUGGGUUUAAAGGGUGCGUAGGCGGAAUAUCAAGUCAGCGGUAAAAUUUCGGGGCUCAACCCCGUCGUGCCGUUGAAACUGACGCCCUUGAGUGAGUGAGAAGUAAGCGGAAUGCGUGGUGUAGCGGUGAAAUGCAUAGAUAUCGCGCAGAACUCCGAUUGCGAAGGCAGCAUGCCGGCUCCACACUGACGCUGAGGCACGAAAGCGUGGGUAUCGAACAGGAUUAGAUACCCCAGUCCCG
rnacentral:rRNA from 1 species